UACGAAGGGGGCUAGCGUUGUUCGGAUUUACUGGGCGUAAAGCGCACGUAGGCGGAUUGUUAAGUCAGGGGUGAAAUCCUGGAGCUCAACUCCAGAACUGCCUUUGAUACUGGCAAUCUAGAGUCCGGAAGAGGUGAGUGGAACUCCUAGUGUAGCGGUGAAAUGCGCAGAUAUCAGGAAGAACACCCGUGGCUAAGGCGGUUCUCUAGUACGGUACUGACGCUGAGACGCGAAAGCGUGGGGAGCGAACAGG
rnacentral:rRNA from 1 species